rnacentral:rRNA from 1 species
AUUGAACGCUGGCGGCAUGCUUUACACAUGCAAGUCGAACGGUAACAGGGUGCUUGCACCGCUGACGAGUGGCGAACGGGUGAGUAAUGCGUCGGAACGUGCCGAGUAGUGGGGGAUAACGCAGCGAAAGUUGUGCUAAUACCGCAUACGUACUGAGGUAGAAAGUGGGGGACCUUCGGGCCUCACGCUAUUCGAGCGGCCGACGUCUGAUUAGCUAGUAGGUGAGGUAAAGGCUCACCUAGGCGACGAUCAGUAGCGGGUCUGAGAGGAUGAUCCGCCACACUGGGACUGAGACACGGCCCAGACUCCUACGGGAGGCAGCAGUGGGGAAUUUUGGACAAUGGGCGAAAGCCUGAUCCAGCCAUGCCGCGUGUCUGAAGAAGGCCUUCGGGUUGUAAAGGACUUUUGCCAGGGAGGAAAUCCCUAGCGUUAAUACCGCUGGGGGAUGACAGUACCUGAAGAAUAAGCACCGGCUAACUACGUGCCAGCAGCCGCAGUAAAAC